rnacentral:rRNA from 1 species
UACGUAGGGUGCGAGCGUUAAUCGGAAUUACUGGGCGUAAAGCGUGCGCAGGUGGUUAUGUAAGACAGUUGUGAAAUCCCCGGGCUCAACCUGGGAACUGCAUCUGUGACUGCAUAGCUAGAGUACGGUAGAGGGGGAUGGAAUUCCGCGUGUAGCAGUGAAAUGCGUAGAUAUGCGGAGGAACACCGAUGGCGAAGGCAAUCCCCUGGACCUGUACUGACGCUCAUGCACGAAAGCGUGGGGAGCAAACAGG